AGACCCGAAACCCGGUGAUCUAGCCAUGGGCAGGUUGAAGGUUGGGUAACACUAACUGGAGGACCGAACCGACUAAUGUUGAAAAAUUAGCGGAUGACCUGUGGCUGGGGGUGAAAGGCCAAUCAAACCGGGAGAUAGCUGGUUCUCCCCGAAAGCUAUUUAGGUAGCGCCUCGUGAAUUCAUCUCCGGGGGUAGAGCACUGUUUCGGCUAGGGGGCCAUCCCGGCUUACCAACCCGAUGCAAACUGCGAAUACCGGAGAAUGUUAUCACGGGAGACACACGGCGGGUGCUAACGUCCGUCGUGAAGAGGGAAACAACCCAGACCGCCAGCUAAGGUCCCAAAGUCAUGGUUAAGUGGGAAACGAUGUGGGAAGGCCCAGACAGCCAGGAUGUUGGCUUAGAAGCAGCCAUCAUUUAAAGAAAGCGUAAUAGCUCACUGGUCGAGUCGGCCUGCGCGGAAGAUGUAACGGGGCUAAACCAUGCACCGAAGCUGCGGCAGCGACACUGUGUGUUGUUGGGUAGGGGAGCGUUCUGUAAGCCUGUGAAGGUGUGUCGUGAGGCAUGCUGGAGGUAUCAGAAGUGCGAAUGCUGACAUAAGUAACGAUAAAGCGGGUGAAAAGCCCGCUCGCCGGAAGACCAAGGGUUCCUGUCCAACGUUAAUCGGGGCAGGGUGAGUCGACCCCUAAGGCGAGGCCGAAAGGCGUAGUCGAUGGGAAACGGGUUAAUAUUCCCGUACUUGGUGUUACUGCGAAGGGGGGACGGAGAAGGCUAUGUUGGCCGGGCGACGGUUGUCCCGGUUUAAGCGUGUAGGCUGGUUUUCCAGGCAAAUCCGGAAAAUCAAGGCUGAGGCGUGACGACGAGGCACUACGGUGCUGAAGCAACAAAUGCCCUGCUUCCAGGAAAAGCCUCUAAGCAUCAGGUAACACGAAAUCGUACCCCAAACCGACACAGGUGGUCAGGUAGAGAAUACCAAGGCGCUUGAGAGAACUCGGGUGAAGGAACUAGGCAAAAUGGUGCCGUAACUUCGGGAGAAGGCACGCUGAUAUGUAGGUGAAGCGGUUUACCCGUGGAGCUGAA
rnacentral:rRNA from 1 species